rnacentral:rRNA from 1 species
CCUACGGGAGGCAGCAGUGGGGAAUAUUGCACAAUGGGGGAAACCCUGAUGCAGCGACGCCGCGUGAGCGAUGAAGUAUUUCGGUAUGUAAAGCUCUAUCAGCAGGGAAGAAAAUGACGGUACCUGACUAAGAAGCCCCGGCUAACUACGUGCCAGCAGCCGCGGUAAUACGUAGGGGGCAAGCGUUAUCCGGAUUUACUGGGUGUAAAGGGGGCGUAGACGGCGGUGCAAGCCAGAUGUGAAAGCCCGGGGCCCAACCCCGGGACUGCCUUUGGAACUGUGCUGCUAGAGUGUCGGAGAGGCAGGCGGAAUUCGUAGUGUAGCGGUGAAAUGCGUAGAUAUUAGGCGGAACACCAGUUGCGAAGGCGGCCUGCUGGACGAUGACUGACGUUGAGGCUCGAAAGCGUGGGGAGCAAACAGGAUUAGAUACCCUAGUAGUC